rnacentral:rRNA from 1 species
CGUGCCCAACCUGCCCCCCGCUCCGGGAUACCCCCGGGAAACCGGGAUCAAUACCGGAUGACGCGGGAAGGCCGCAUGGCCUUCCCGCCAAAGCCCAGGCGGCGGGGGAUGGGGGCGCGGCCCAUCAGGUAGACGGCGGGGUGACGGCCCACCGUGCCCGCAACGGGUAGCCGGGUUGAGAGACCGAUCGGCCACAUUGGGACUGAGAUACGGCCCAGACUCCUACGGGAGGCAGCAGUGGGGAAUUUUGCGCAAUGGGGGGAACCCUGACGCAGCAACGCCGCGUGCGGGACGAAGGCCUUCGGGUUGUAAACCGCUUUCAGCAGGGAAGAUGAUGACGGUACCUGCAGAAGAAGCCCCGGCUAACUACGUGCCAGCAGCCGCGGUAAUACGUAGGGGGCGAGCGUUAUCCGGAUUCAUUGGGCGUAAAGCGCGCGCAGGCGGCCGGCCAAGCGGAACCUCUAAUCCCGGGGCUCAACCCCGCGGCCGGGUUCCGAACUGGCCGGCUCGAGUUCGGUAGAGGAGGGUGGAAUUCCCGGUGUAGCGGUGGAAUGCGCA